rnacentral:lncRNA from 1 species
UUAAUGGAACAUAAGAUGAUCUAAAGCAUCUACAAGUUAAAGCACACUUUUUCAUCCAUUCAAGAGCUUUCAAUCAUCAAGCUCUUCAUCUUCUUUGCUUCUAAUCAUCAUAUAGAACAUCCCUGGCCACAAGUGCUAGAAAAUGUUAUGAGGAAUUUGUGGACCAAUGCAAAGAUUUAAGUUCAAGGAAAACAAGUAUCAAUACUCCAUGCCAACUAUUGAAGGGUUUGCCUGU